GCUGGCGGGAGCCUGAGGCCUGGGAUUGGUCAGAAAAGGGGGCGUAGUGCGAGGGGGUGUUCCCCGGCCUAGCGGCGGUACCCCGUUCAGCCUUCCGAGUCAGCUACGCCUGGUGGCUGUCUCCGCGUGCAUCCCUCCGGGAGCAGUCUGCAGGAACAAUAUGGAGGCUGACCUGUCUGGCUUUAACAUUGACGCGCCCCGCUGGGAUCAGUGCACGUUCCUGGGGCGUGUGAAGCACUUUUUUAACAUCACGGAUCCUCGCACUGUCUUUGCAUCAGAGCAGGAGCUGGACUGGGCGAAGGCGAUGGUGGAGAAGAGCAGGAUGGGACUUGUGCCCCCUGGCACUCAGGUGGAGCAGCUGCUGUAUGCUAAGAAGCUGUACGACUCGGCCUUCCACCCUGACACUGGGGAGAAGAUGAAUGUCAUUGGGCGGAUGUCCUUCCAGGUCCCCGGGGGCAUGAUCAUCACAGGCUUCAUGCUCCAGUUCUACAGGACCAUGCCUGCGGUGAUCUUCUGGCAGUGGGUGAACCAGUCCUUCAAUGCCUUAGUCAACUACACCAACAGGAACGCGGCUUCCCCCACGUCAGUCAGGCAGAUGGCCCUCUCCUACUGUACAGCCACUACCACUGCCGUAGCCACUGCAGUGGGCAUGAAUAUGUGGACAAAGAGAGCCCCACCCUUGGUGGGCCGAUGGGUGCCCUUUGCCGCCGUGGCUGCAGCUAACUGUGUCAAUAUCCCGAUGAUGCGACAGCAGGAACUCAUCGAGGGCAUCUGUGUGAAGGACAGGGACCAAAAUGAGCUUGGCCAUUCUCAGAGAGCUGCGGCUGUGGGCAUCGCCCAAGUGGUUGUUUCUCGGAUCACGAUGGCAGCCCCUGGCAUGAUCCUGUUACCAGUCAUCAUGGAGCGGCUGGAGAGACUCCGGAUGAUGAAGAAGGUCAGAGUGCUGCAUGCUCCCCUGCAGGUCUUGCUGUGCGGCUGCUUCCUCCUCUUCAUGGUGCCGGUGGCAUGUGGGCUCUUCCCUCAGGAAUGAGCCCAAGGCCACCUGCCCAGGGAAUGGCGCCACCCACAGUGGCCCAGUGGCCCACAUCAGUCAACAGUCAAGACAGUUCCUCACAGGCAUGCCCCGAGACUGAUCAACUUGAUAAAGACAGUUACUCAGUUGAUACUCUUCUCAGCAAAUUAGCAGUUUCCUAUCUAGAACCAGAGCUGCAGGACACCAUCAAGGCCAAGUAUGGAGAACACGUCCUCUUUGCCUACUUCAAUAAGGGUCUCUAAGUGCGCCAUGCCUUCAAGGACCAAUCCCUGCCCUGUGUGGACCAGCUUUUCGCUGGCAGCUGUCCAUAUUCCUCUUUGAAAUAAGGUCUGGAAGCCAGGCUGGAUUGGGAGAUGGAGUGGGUGGGAGGGGAGAUAGUUCCUGUUUCCAUAUAAACAACCGGGACAAAAAUUCAAAUGGGGAUCAAGGUGGUUGGGGAUGUAGCUCAGUUGGUAGUGUUUGCCUGGCAUCCACAAAGCCUGGGAUUUAAUCCUUUAAACCAUGUGGUUCAGGCGUGAUUGUACAUGCUUAUGACCUUGUUCUUGGGAGGUGGAGGCAGGAGGAUUCGAAGUUCAAAGUCAACCUUAGGUAUGUGGGGAAUUUGAAUCUAGUCUGAGUUAGAGAGAGUGUCUCAAAAAAGCAGGGGAGGGAACAAGGACAGAGGUUUCCUGUCUGCUUUGUCCUUGACCCUGUCCUUUGGGAGCAGAGGCUGCUGGUAUCUGGGAGUGAUUAGGAAACCUGUGACUCUUCUCCAGUCAGGACUGUAGAUGUACUGAGUCCUCCUCCUCUAUCCUCCCACUUCCUCCUUCCCAAGCAAGGGGAACGUUACCCGUGUGAGUCUGAAAAGGCUUUUGAUCACUUUCCUUUUAUUUUAUGUAUGGUGUUUCCCUUCAUGUGUGUCUCUCUGCACGCAGUGUCCACAGCGGUCAGAGGAGGGUGUCAGAUCCUCUGGGACUGGAGUCACCACUGUGAGCCGUCACGUGGGUGCUGGAAAUCCAGCCCAGGUCCUCUGGAAGAGCAGCUGCUGCUCUUGCCUGCUGAGCCAUCUCUCCAGCCCCUGUUCAGGACAGAAAGUCCUCUUGGGGACUCAUCUCUACCCUUCCCCUCUGUGCUCUGCCUGGGAUGCAUCCUUGGGAAUGCUGCUAGACUAGAGUUCUUCAGGCCGUGAGAGUUAGACUGGUGUGUACCACAGGAAAAGGAAGCUGUGCUUGGACACCCGAGCACAGUUCAACCAGCACCAAAGAGCCUUAAGCGUGUACAGCCAGACUGCCAUUUCACCCAGGUUAUGUGGGGCAUCAAGUUCUAUCCCUUUGAUAAUGACUUUAUUUUGUCUGAAAAUCAUGUCUAGAUCUAUGUCUGGGACCCUUAUUCUGAGAGAAGUCUCUUCUUUCAUUGCCUCCCCUGGUUUACAAGUCCCCCCGUGAGUGAAGGCACCUGCCACACGUUUUAAUGGGAAUGAUUUCCUGGUGGCCUCCCUUCCUGAGCCCAGUAGAUUAAAUACCAAAGAAAGACUGGUGAGUACUGGUAAGACAGGGGAGCUGUACUUGGACAUCCCUGAGAGGAAGUCAACCAGGACCAAAGAGAGCACACAGCAAAGGGCCGCUUUACUUCCUGUCUGUUCCUGGAGCCCCCUGGGGACUGUAGUUUACCUGGGGUCAUUGUGUAUAUGAGUUUUGUCUGGUAAAAUCUGCUGAUUGUGUUCAAACGAUGCCAUGAAUUGAAUAAACGAUUUGAAAGACCAUGAAA